rnacentral:SRP_RNA from 2 species
GCUGGGUGUGGUGGUGCACGCCUGUAGUCCCAGCUACUCGGGAGGCUGAGGCAGGAGAAUCGCUUGAACCCGGGAGGCAGAGGUUGCAAUGAGCCGAGAUCACACCACUGCACUCUAGCCUGGGUGACAGAGUGAGACUCUGUCUCAA